rnacentral:lncRNA from 1 species
ACACAACAAAGAAGUCCUUCCCGCAAUCAGAAAAAGAGCAGUUUUCAUUUGCCAUUGACAUGUGCCCACUGCAUGGUGUCAGUGGCCAUUGAGAAAAGUUGGCCAGGUGGAGCUAUGUGAGACUGAAUUCUUUGGGGGGAGAGGAGGAAAACUGGAUUACUCCAGUAUGAAGUGCUUCCCAGCAAUCCUAUGGAGACAGCCGGCUCCUUGUUAACCCCUCCGGUUCUGAAUCAGCCCAGAGGCAGAGGACCGCGUGCUUGGAAGACUGCGUCUGACUUUUGUGUUAGCAAGUCUCAGCAGAUGGUCUUCCUGCUCAUAAAUCGGGAGCGUGGGGAGGGGCGUUUGACUGAUUGCUGGAUGGACCAGCCUAAGAGCCCCGCAGAGGCCUCUUGA